rnacentral:rRNA from 1 species
GAUGAACGCUGGCGGCGUGCCUAACACAUGCAAGUCGAGCGAAGCGCUUAAAUUAGAUUUCUUUGGAAUGACGAUUUUUGUGACUGAGCGGCGGACGGGUGAGUAACGCGUGGGUAACCUGCCUCAUACAGGGGGAUAACAGUUAGAAAUGACUGCUAAUACCGCAUAAGACCCCAGCUUCGCAUGAAGCGGUGGUAAAAACUCCGGUGGUAUGAGAUGGACCCGCGUCUGAUUAGCUAGUUGGUAAGGUAACGGCUUACCAAGGCGACGAUCAGUAGCCGACCUGAGAGGGUGACCGGCCACAUUGGGACUGAGACACGGCCCAGACUCCUACGGGAGGCAGCAGUGGGGAAUAUUGCACAAUGGGGGAAACCCUGAUGCAGCGACGCCGCGUGAAGGAUGAAGUAUUUCGGUAUGUAAACUUCUAUCAGCAGGGAAGAAAGUGACGGUACCUGACUAAGAAGCCCCGGCUAACUACGUG